AGGGACAACAUUUAGACUAAAUUAACAUUACGGGAAUACUUAUCAGGCUUUAUUUUUGAAGGGAUGCCAUAAAAGCUAUUAAUUGUCACUAUUAUUGAAUCAUGGUAAACAGAUUUUUACUUCUGGCUGCUGAGGAAUUGGCAUAUAGUUCUAUAGAAAAACUGAAUGAUAUGUUUCCAGCUUGCCUAGUAUUUUUACGAGGACGCUUUGGAUAAAAAUAUUAUUGUUAAUAGUGGAUGUUACAGAUAAUCGAAUAAAAAUUUCAUUUCAAUAAA